GAUGAACGCUGGCGGCGUGCCUAAUACAUGCAAGUCGAGCGAACGGACGAGAAGCUUGCUUCUCUGAUGUUAGCGGCGGACGGGUGAGUAACACGUGGAUAACCUACCUAUAAGACUGGGAUAACUUCGGGAAACCGGAGCUAAUACCGGAUAAUACUUUGAACCGCAUGGUUCAAAAGUGAAAGACGGUCUUGCUGUCACUUAUAGAUGGAUCCGCGCUGCAUUAGCUAGUUGGUAAGGUAACGGCUUACCAAGGCAACGAUGCAUAGCCGACCUGAGAGGGUGAUCGGCCACACUGGAACUGAGACACGGUCCAGACUCCUACGGGAGGCAGCAGUAGGGAAUCUUCCGCAAUGGGCGAAAGCCUGACGGAGCAACGCCGCGUGAGUGAUGAAGGUCUUCGGAUCGUAAAACUCUGUUAUUAGGGAAGAACAUAUGUGUAAGUAACUGUGCACAUCUUGACGGUACCUAAUCAGAAAGCCACGGCUAACUACGUG
rnacentral:rRNA from 1 species